rnacentral:rRNA from 1 species
AGUGAACGCUGGCGGUAGGCCUAACACAUGCGAGUCGAACGGCAGCACAGUAAGAGCUUGCUCUUACGGGUGGCGAGUGGCGGACGGGUGAGGAAUACAUCGGAAUCUACUUUUUCGUGGGGGAUAACGUAGGGAAACUUACGCUAAUACCGCAUACGACCUACGGGUGAAAGCAGGGGAUCUUCGGACCUUGCGCGAUUGAAUGAGCCGAUGUCGGAUUAGCUAGUUGGCGGGGUAAAGGCCCACCAAGGCGACGAUCCGUAGCUGGUCUGAGAGGAUGAUCAGCCACACUGGAACUGAGACACGGUCCAGACUCCUACGGGAGGCAGCAGUGGGGAAUAUUGGACAAUGGGCGCAAGCCUGAUCCAGCUAUACCGCGUGGGUGAAGAAGGCCUUCGGGUUGUAAAGCCCUUUUGUUGGGAAAGAAAAGCAGCAGGUUAAUACCCCGCUGUUCUGACGGUACCCAAAGAAUAAGCACCGGCUAACUUCGU